rnacentral:rRNA from 1 species
UACGGAGGAGGCAAGCGUUAUCCGGAAUUAUUGGGCGUAAAGCGUCCGUAGGUGGCUCUUCAAGUCUGCUGUCAAAGAGUGGGGCUUAACCCUGCAAAGGCAGUGGAAACUGAAAGGCUAGAGAGCCGUAGGGGUAGAGGGAAUUCCCGGUGUAGCGGUGAAAUGCGUAGAGAUCGGGAAGAACAUCGGUGGCGAAAGCGACUUCCUGGACCAAUACUGACGCUCAUGUGCGAAAGCGUGGGGAGCAAACAGG